GUAGUCUCGCACAGAUGCAUAUCAAUAAGCGGAGGAAAAGAAACUAACAAGGAUUCCCCUAGUAACGGCGAGUGAAGCGGGAAGAGCUCAAAUUUGAAAUCUUAAAGGGUUUCCCUUUACGAAUUGUAGUUUAAAGAAGUGUUUUCUGUUGAGGUUUUGGUAAAAGUUCUUUGGAAUAGGACAUCAUAGAGGGUGAGAAUCCCGUAUUUGACCUUUACUUUCAACUUUGUGAUACACUUUCAAAGAGUCGGAUUGUUUGGGAAUGCAGUCCAAAAUGGGUGGUAAAUUUCAUCUAAAGCUAAAUAUUGGCGAGAGACCGAUAGCGAACAAGUACCGUGAGGGAAAGAUGAAGAGAACUUUGAAAAGGAGAGUUAAACAGUACGUGAAAUUGUCAAAAGGGAAGCGUUUGACACCAGUGUUGUUUUUCUGAAAAUCAAUUAAAGAACUGUUUAUGCUAAGUUGUUUAGACUUUAUCAGCUAUCUGCUUAGUUUUGAGCUUUUCUUUAAUGCACUUUUCAGUUAACAAGUCAACAUCAAUUUCUUUUGCUGUAAAAAAGCUUGAGGAAGGUGGCUUGAGAUUCGUCUUAAGUGUUUAUAGCCUCUUGCCUAUGCAGUCGGAGAGAUUGAGGUCUGCAGCGUAGAUCCUUCGGGGCUAAAUGCAUUUGUGCUAAGUUAUAGCAUUUUAUAGACAACUUGUUGACUAUGAUUUGUCUUGUAGCUUACUCGCUUAUGUUAUUUUACCUACGCUUAGGAUGUUGAACUCUAUCACACACA
rnacentral:rRNA from 1 species